GGCAGCUCUUGGGUGAUGCACCCCAGAAUCGGGCUCCCUCUUCUCUGGUUCUAGGUGCAUCACCCAAGAACCGCU
rfam:Myotis brandtii contig270792, whole genome shotgun sequence.